GACGAACGCUGGCGGCGUGCCUAAUACAUGCAAGUUGAGCGCUGAAGGAUGGUACUUGUACCAACUGGAUGAGCAGCGAACGGGUGAGUAACGCGUGGGGAAUCUGCCUUUGAGCGGGGGACAACAUUUGGAAACGAAUGCUAAUACCGCAUAAAACCUUUAAACACAAGUUUUAAGUUUGAAAGAUGCAAUUGCCUCACUCAAAGACGAUCCCGCGUUGUAUUAGCUAGGUGGUGAGGUAAAGGCCCACCAAGGCGAUGAUACAUAGCCGACCUGAGAGGGUGAUCGGCCACAUUGGGACUGGAGAACGGCCCAAAAUCCUACGGGGGGCAGCAGUAGGGAAUCUUCGGCAAUGGACGAAAGUCUGACCGAGCAACGCCGCGUGAGUGAAGGAGGGUUUCGGAGCGGAAAACUCUGUUGGUAGGGAAGAAAGUUGGUGAGAGUGGAAAGCUCAUCAAGUGACGGUAACUACCCAGAAAGGGACGGCUAACUACGUG
rnacentral:rRNA from 1 species